rnacentral:rRNA from 1 species
GUGGGGAAUAUUGGACAAUGGGCGAAAGCCUGAUCCAGCCAUGCCGCGUGUGUGAAGAAGGUCUUCGGAUUGUAAAGCACUUUAAGUUGGGAGGAAGGGCAGUAAGUUAAUACCUUGCUGUUUUGACGUUACCGACAGAAUAAGCACCGGCUAACUUCGUGCCAGCAGCCGCGGUAAUACGAAGGGUGCAAGCGUUAAUCGGAAUUACUGGGCGUAAAGCGCGCGUAGGUGGUUUUGUAAGUUGGAGGUGAAAUCCCCGGGCUCAACAUGGGAACUGCCUCCAAAACUGCAUGACUAGAGUACGGUAGAGGGUAGUGGAAUUUCCUGUGUAGCGGUGAAAUGCGUAGAUAUAGGAAGGAACACCAGUGGCGAAGGCGACUACCUGGACUGAUACUGACACUGAGGUGCGAAAGCGUGGGGAGCAAACAGGAUUAGAAACCCUGGUAGUCC